rnacentral:rRNA from 1 species
UCUGCGGCCUAUCAGGUAGUAGUGGUUGUAAUGUACCUACUAGCCAGCGACGGGUACGGGUUGUGAGAGCAAGAGCCCGGAGAUGGAUUCUGAGACAUGAAUCCAGGCCCUACGGGGCGCAGCAGGCGCGAAAACUUUACAAUGCGGGAAACCGUGAUAAGGGGACACCGAGUGCCAGCAUCAUAUGCUGGCUGUCCGGAUGUGUAAAAUACAUCCGUUAGCAAGGGCCGGGCAAGACCG